rnacentral:rRNA from 1 species
UGGCUCAAGAUGAACGCUAGCAGGAGGCCUAACACAUGCAAGCCGAGCGGUAGAGAUUCUUCGGAAUCUUGAGAGCGGCGUACGGGUGCGGAACACGUGUGCAACCUACCUUUAUCUGGAGGAUAGCCUUUCGAAAGGAAGAUUAAUACUCCAUAAUAUAUUGAUUGGCAUCAAUUGAUAUUGAAAGCUCCGGCGGAUAGAGAUGGGCACGCGCAAGAUUAGUUAGUUGGUGAGGUAACGGCUCACCAAGACGAUGAUCUUUAGGGGCCUGAGAGGGUGAUCCCCCACACUGGUACUGAGACACGGACCAGACUCCUACGGGAGGCAGCAGUGAGGAAUAUUGGUCAAUGGGUGCAAGCCUGAACCAGCCAUCCCGCGUGAAGGACGACUGCCCUAUGGGUUGUAAACUUCUUUUGUAUAGGGAUAAACCUACCCUCGUGAGGGUAGCUGAAGGUACUAUACGAAUAAGCACCGGCUAACUCCGUG